CCUAAGGAAGGGGAUACCCUCGGGRAAACUGAGGAUAAUACCCUAUAGGUUACCGAUGCUGGAAUGCUCGGUAACUCAAAGUUCCGGCGCCUUAGGAUGGAUCUGCGGCCGAUUAGGUAGUUGUUGGGGUAACGGCCCAACAAGCCCGUAAUCGGUACGGGUUGUGGGAGCAAGAGCCCGGAGUUGGAUUCUGAGACACGAAUCCAGGCCCUACGGGGCGCAGCAGGCGCGAAAACUUUACAAUGCGGGCAACCGUGAUAAGGGAACCUCGAGUGCCUGUACAUGCAGGCUGUCUGGGUGUCUAAAACACACCCAAAGAAAGGRCCGGGCAAGACCGGUGCCAGCCGCCGCGGUAAUACCGGCGGCUCGAGUGGUGGCCACUUUUAUUGGGCUUAAAGCGUUCGUAGCUGGGUUGUUAAGUCUCUUGGGAAAUCCGGCGGCUUAACCGUCGGGCGUCUAAGAGAUACUGGCAAUCUUGGAACCGGGAGAGGUGAGGGGUACUUCGGGGGUAGGAGUGAAAUCCUGUAAUCCUCGAGGGACCACCUGUGGSGAAGGCGCCUCACCAGAACGGCUUCGACAGUGAGGGACGAAAGCUGGGGGAGCAAACCGGAUUUUCUCCCCGGGUAGUCCCAGCCGUAAACGAUGUGCGUUAGG
rnacentral:rRNA from 1 species